ensembl:lncRNA
AACACUGCCAGGCAUACACAGUCCAGGAGGUUCCUGCAAUGUGUGGAAGGCAACUUCCUGAUGCAGGUGAUGGAGAAGUUAACGAGGAGGAGUGUGUUGAUAGACAUUGGACUGGUCAGGGUUAUGAAGGCUGGGGGUAGCCUUGGAUGCAGUGAUCAAGAGACUGGAGUUCAGGAUCUUGUGUGGAAGAAAUAAAGCAAUUCCAAAUACCAUCAUCACCUUUGACUUGAGAGUUGCAGCUGAGGCCUUUGGAGAGACAUUUAGGACAUCUGAAGGACAAGACGUUGAAACUCGUGAUUUGAAGGCAGGAAGCGUAUGGAAUACAAAUCACCUCUGAUACACCCCUUGAUUUCUAUUUCUAGUAAAUAUUAUUCACCUAUUAGUCAUUUUCAGGGCUUGUUCUCAUUCAGUCACGUGGCUACAUGGAUGAGUUACUCAUUUUGUAGUAAUGCUGUCUUUGGAAGAUGAGCCACUACUAUCUGAGUGCUAUAGGAGUACGAUGAGCAAAAUUUACUCUGAUGUGACAGCUUUGUUCUGGGCAGCUAUGCCGAAAGAGGAACAACCAGUAAUAAUUCAGUGGAUUUGAUACUCAGCGUAUACAGAACUUUGUGGUACAAUUCCGAGUUAAAGGCACUGUUCCACUGAUGGCAGUCAUCCAGACUUCUUCUUAUGUGAAGGGCUAUAGUGGAAGCCAGAGCUACUAAUUAAUGCUUCUUUGUUGGUUAUGGCAUACAUGCACGA